rnacentral:piRNA from 1 species
UGGAAAUCUGGCAGGAGUCCUGGGA